ensembl:processed_transcript
CAUCAUUCCUGAUGGUCCUCUCAAUAAUGAAGACCGAGCAGAAGUGGAGAAGAUGCAGAUUUUCAGCUUCAAAAUCAACAAGCACAUGAUGAUCCUCAUACAGCAGGACUCAGAGCUUCAUACAGCAGAACUCAGUGAAGAAACUCAGACGGUCAUUCAGAGUCUUAGUGGACGACAUCAUUUCAUUAACCCAAACACACCAGUGUCCACAUUGAUGGAGAAGAUUGAUCAGAUGGUGGAAGAAAACAAAGGAGAGGUUUUCUCAGCAGAGACAUUUCUGGAGCCGCAGAUGGAGAAACACCUGAAAUAUGAUGAAAAACAUAGCGGAAUCAACUCAUUAAAGACAUUUCAGUCACAAGAUUCAAGAGAAAGACCUAAUGAAGUGAGAAUUGUUCUUCUGGGUAAAACUGGAGUUGGGAAGAGUGCAACUGGAAACACCAUCUUAGGAAGAAAAGCAUUUACAUCAGACAUCUCUCAAAGCUCUGUUACUAAAGAGUGUCAGAAGGUCACAGUUCAAGUCAAUAGUCAAAACAUCACUGUGAUCGACACUCCAGGACUGUUUGAUACUCAACUCAGUAAUGAAGAAAUCAAGAGAGAAAUCAGCAACUGCAUCUCCAUGAUCCUGCCUGGACCUCACGUGUU